rfam:Felis catus isolate Cinnamon breed Abyssinian chromosome E1, whole genome shotgun sequence.
ACCUGUGUGGCUCAGUUGGUUGAGUGUCUGACUUCAGCUCAGGUCAUGAUCUCAUGGUUUGUGAGUUCGAACCCCGCAGCAGGCU